rnacentral:lncRNA from 1 species
UUUUAUUUAAAUUAAUAUAGCAUAUAGUGGACGUUUGAUCUAAUUUUGAAAAAAUAAUUUUUGGAGAAUUAAUUUUUGUUUGGGGAAUUGGUUUCGGUUAAAAAUUAUAAAAAUAUUUAACUGAGUCUAACAGAAAAGUGAUUCGUUGAGUUUAGUAGGAAAGUUUUUUCUUUUUGAAUAAAUUUUAUAAAACUAUUUGGUAAAAAAAAAUGUUCGCAAAUAAUAAUUUUAAUUUUUAAUU